GAUGAACGCUGACAGAAUGCUUAACACAUGCAAGUCAACUUGAAUUUGGGUUUUUAACUUAGGUUUGGGUGGCGGACGGGUGAGUAACGCGUAAAGAACUUGCCUCACAGCUAGGGACAACAUUUGGAAACGAAUGCUAAUACCUAAUAUUAUGAUAAUAGGGCAUCCUAUAAUUAUGAAAGCUAUAAGCGCUGUGAGAGAGCUUUGCGUCCCAUUAGCUAGUUGGAGAGGUAACUGCUCACCAAGGCGAUGAUGGGUAGCCGGCCUGAGAGGGUGAUCGGCCACAAGGGGACUGAGACACGGCCCUUACUCCUACGGGAGGCAGCAGUGGGGAAUAUUGGACAAUGGACCAAGAGUCUGAUCCAGCAAUUCUGUGUGCACGAUGAAGUUUUUCGGAAUGUAAAGUGCUUUCAGUUGGGAAGAAAGAAAUGACGGUACCAACAGAAGAAGUGACGGCUAAAUACGUGCCAGCAGCCGCGGUAAUACGUAUGUCACGAGCGUUAUCCGGAUUUAUUGGGCGUAAAGCGCGUCUAGGUGGUUAUGUAAGUCUGAUGUGAAAAUGCAGGGCUCAACUCUGUAUUGCGUUGGAAACUGUAUAACUAGAGUACUGGAGAGGUAAGCGGAACUACAAGUGUAGAGGUGAAAUUCGUAGAUAUUUGUAGGAAUGCCGAUGGGGGAAGCCAGCUUACUGGACAGAUACUGACGCUGAAGCGCGAAAGCGUGGGUAGCAAACAGGAGUAGAUACCCUGGUAGUCCAAGGGGCUAAUUCCACAGUGUAGAUCAGGCUUAUCGAUACCCGUCGACCUCGAGGGGGGGGCCCAGAAACACCAACUUUUGUUCCCUUUAGUGAGGGGUAAUUAACUGUGCUGCUGCCCCUACCUUGUCUUUUCAUGUGUUUAUUUAGUUUUCUUCUUUGUUGCUGAGUGGUGAGCCAGCCUUGCCUUGCAUCUCUCUUGUUAUUGUGUUCUAGUGCCUGUACUCUUUGUGCUGUAUGAUUCAUGUGUUGUCAUGAUGUUGACUGCUGCUGUGUGUAGUGUGGUGCCUCGCUGUGCUCUAGUGCCCUAAUCUUCUGUUGUGUCAUAUGCUUUGCUGUGU
rnacentral:rRNA from 1 species